GCCGGGGUGCCCGAGCGGUCGAAGGGGCGGGGCUGCAGUGGCGGCUACCGUUGGUGUCCGCCCGUCGAAACCCCGUUAAUCCCGGGUUCGAAUCCCGGCCCCGGCU
rnacentral:tRNA from 1 species